rnacentral:rRNA from 1 species
GACGAACGCUGGCGGCGUGCUUAACACAUGCAAGUCGAACGGUGAAGCGCUUGCCUUUUUGGUGGGUGUGGAUGAGUGGCGAACGGGUGAGUAACACGUGAGUAACCUGCCCUCUUCUUCUGGAUAACCUCAUGAAAGUGGGGCUAAUACGGGGUAUUCCGGGUCUGUCGCAUGGCGGGUUUGGGAAAGAUUGCGCCUUUGGGUGUUUUCGGUGGGGGAUGGGCUCGCGGCCUAUCAGCUUGUUGGUGGGGUGAUGGCCUACCAAGGCGGUGACGGGUAGCCGGACUGAGAGGGUGGACGGCCAAACUGGGACUGAGACACGGCCCAGACUCCUGAGGGAGGCAGCAGUGGGGAAUAGUGCACAAUGGGCGCAAGCCUGAUGCAGCGACGCCGCGUGAGGGAUGGAGGCCUUCGGGUUGUGAACCUCUUUCGACAGUGAAGCAGGCCUGCUCCUGUGUGGGUGGGUUGACGGUAGCUGGAGAAGAAGCGCCGGCUAACUACGUG